rnacentral:misc_RNA from 1 species
GAAAUGCGAUAAGUAAUGUGAAUUGCAGAAUUCAGUGAAUCAUCGAAUCUUUGAACGCACCUUGCACCCUUUGGUAUUCCGAAGGGUACCCCUGUUUGAGUGUCAUUAUUAUUCUCAAACUCACACUUGUUGUAAUGACUUGUUGUGGGCUUUGGAUGUGGGGACUACUGGACUCUAUUAAGUUGGAGGUCGGUUUCCCUUAAAUAUAUUAGUGGUUGGUCGGGCCCCAGCUCUUGGUGUAUGUUUAGGUUUUUAUCAGCUACACCUUAUACAGUCUGGCUAGCCCAUGCUAUGGCUACUGCUCUCUAACCGUCUUUCAAAGACAAUUAGUAACAAUUUGGCCUCAAAUCAGGUGGGACUACCCGCUGAACUUAA